rnacentral:rRNA from 1 species
UUGGCGGAUGAGUUGUGGCUAGGGGAGAAAUUCCAAUCGAACACGGAGAUAGCUGGUUCUCCCCGAAAUAGCUUUAGGGCUAGCGUCGAGGAUGAGUCUUGUGGAGGUAGAGCACUGAAUGUACGAUGGCCCCAUCCCGGGGUACUGAGUAUAAUCAAACUCCGAAUGCCAUGAGAUAUUCCCGGCAGUCAGACCGUGGGUGAUAAGGUCCAUGGUCAAAAGGGAAACAGCCCAGACCGCCAGUUAAGGUCCCAAAAUGUAUGCUAAGUGGAAAAGGAUGUGGGGAUGCACAGACAACUAGGAGGUUGGCUCAGAAGCAGCCAUCCUUCAAAGAGUGCGUAACAGCUCACUAGUCGAGUGACCCUGCGCCGAAAAUGUACCGGGGCUAAGCAUACUACCGAAGCUGCGGAUUUGUAGUAAUACAAGUGGUAGGGGAGCGUUCCAUGCACGUGGAAGCCAUACCGAAAGGAGUGGUGGAGAGCAUGGAAGUGAGAAUGCCGGUGUGAGUAGCGAGAUGCAGGUGAGAAUCCUGCACACCGAUAGCCCAAGGAUUCCAGGGGAAGGUUCGUCCGCCCUGGGUAAGUCGGGACCUAAGGCGAGGCCGAAAGGCGUAGUCGAUGGAAAACAGGCAGAUAUUCCUGUACCCGCGAUGGAAAUGAAGGAAUGACGGAGAAGGCUAGCAUGAGCCACUUAUUGGAUUGUGGUCGAAGCGAAUAGCAGGUGCACAGUAAAAUGCGUGCACGGGAUGUAAAACGUGACAGGUAAGCGAAACCUUUGGGGAGUAGCGAAGCAUGCGAGGCCAGCUUCCAGGAAAAGUUUCUAGUGCUGAUUCCAUAGCGGCCCGUACCAAAACCGACACAGGUGGGCAAGGAGAGUAUCCUGAGGUGAGCGAGAGAACUGUUGCCAAGGAACUCGGCAAAAUGACUCCGUAAGUUAGCGAGAAGGAGUGCUUAUGAAAGUAAGCCGCAGUGAAGAGGCCCAAGCGACUGUUUAACUAAAACACAGCUCUCUGCGAAGUCGCAAGACGAAGUAUAGGGGGUGACGCCUGCCCGGUGCUGGAAGGUUAAGAGGAUUUGUCAUCCGCAAGGAGAAGCAAUGAAUUGAAGCCCCAGUGAACGGCGGCCGUAACUAUAACGGUCCUAAGGUAGCGAAAUUCCUUGUCAGGUAAG